CCUACGGGGGGCAGCAGUGAGGAAUAUUGGUCAAUGGUCGGGAGACUGAACCAGCCAAGCCGCGUGAGGGAGGAAGGUACAGAGUAUCGUAAACCUCUUUUGUCAGGGAACAAAGGCGGGGACGUGUCCCCGGCUGAGUGUACCUGAAGAAAAAGCAUCGGCUAACUCCGUGCCAGCAGCCGCGGUAAUCCGGAGGCUGCGAGCGUUAUCCGGAUUUAUUGGGUUUAAAGGGUGCGCAGGCGGUCUGUUAAGUCAGCGGUCAAAGCCCGGGGCUCAACCCCGGCCCGCCGUUGAAACUGGCAGUCUCGAGUUGGAGAGAAGUAGGCGGAAUGCGCGGUGUAGCGGUGAAAUGCAUAGAUAUCGCGCAGAACUCCGAUUGCGAAGGCAGCAUGCCGGCUCUCAACUGACGCUGAGGCACGAAAGUGUGGGUAUCGAACAGGAUUAGAUACCCGAGUAGUC
rnacentral:rRNA from 1 species